rnacentral:lncRNA from 1 species
GAGCGAACAAGAGGGCCUGGAGUCAGAUGAGUGAGAAAAUGACAUGAGCUCAGAGGCGCGCACUCACGUGAGUGUGAGCUGUGUUCCUUUUCUUUUCUGAAGACAUUGGAAUUGUCCGGUUGGAAUAUUACUGAAGAUUUAUGUUAAAAACAUCCUAAAGAUUGAUGCUAUACAUCGUUUGACAUAUUUCUACGAACGUAAAUAUAACUUUUUUUACAUUUCGUCGUGACAUUUUCGCACGCUUCCUGCAUUUGGAGUAGUGGACUGAAUGCGCGAACAAAAAGGAGGUAUUUGGACAUAAAUUAUGGACUUUAUCGAACAAAACAAACAUUUAUUGUGGACCUGGGAUUCGUGGGAGUGCAUUCUGAUGAAGAUCAUCAAAGGAUCUGCGAGGGAAUACCGGUGGCGAGUUCCGUGUGAAGGCAUGAGGGAAAUUCCCAUCUGACCAAAGAGGACGUGGACCCGCCCAGACCAGACUUUUACUGUGAGCUUCCCGGGGAAAGAUACCUGAUCUGCGAACCUCUGAGGGACAUGUCUAUUGAAUUUCACCUCUCACUUUCACCUCUCUCUCCACUGCCCCUCUCCCUCCUAACCUCUCUCUCCACUGUAUCUCCCUCCCAGUCACUCCUCCAUCUCUCCCCACUGCCUUCCCCG